rnacentral:rRNA from 1 species
GCAGUCGAGGGGCAGCAUGGUCUUAGCUUGCUAAGGCUGAUGGCGACCGGCGCACGGGUGAGCAACACGUAUCCAACCUGCCGUCUACUCUUGGCCAGCCUUCUGAAAGGAAGAUUAAUCCAGGAUGGGAUCAUGAGUUCACAUGUCCGCAUGAUUAAAGGUAUUUUCCGGUAGACGAUGGGGAUGCGUUCCAUUAGAUAGUAGGCGGGGUAACGGCCCACCUAGUCAACGAUGGGUAGGGGUUCUGAGAGGAAGGUCCCCCACAUUGGAACUGAGACACGGUCCAAACUCCUACGGGAGGCAGCAGUGAGGAAUAUUGGUCAAUGGGCGAUGGCCUGAACCAGCCAAGUAGCGUGAAGGAUGACUGCCCUAUGGGUUGUAAACUUCUUUUAUAAAGGAAUAAAGUCGGGUAUGCAUACCCGUUUGCAUGUACUUUAUGAAUAAGGAUCGGCUAACUCCGUGCCAGCAGCCGCGGUAAUACGGAGGAUCCGAGCGUUAUCCGGAUUUAUUGGGUUUAAAGGGAG